GCCUCAGUGGUGUAGUAGGUAACACGUGAGCCUCUGGAAAGAGUAAUCGAGAGUUCGAAUCUUUCUUGGAGCC
rnacentral:tRNA from 1 species